UACGGAGGGGGCGAGCGUUAUUCGGAAUCAUUGGGCGUAAAGGGCGCGUAGGCGGCCCCGUAAGUCUUGGGUGAAAGCCCUCGGCUCAACCGAGGAAUUGCCUUGGAUACUGCGGGGCUCGAGGCUGGAAGAGGGCAGUGGAAUUCCCGGUGUAGCGGUGAAAUGCGCAGAUAUCAGGAGGAACACCUACGGCGAAGGCAGCUCGCUGGGACGGUACUGACGCUGAGACGCGAAAGCGUGGGGAGCAAACAGG
rnacentral:rRNA from 1 species